GAGUUUGAUCCUGGCUCAGGAUGAACGCUGGCGGCGUGCCUAAUACAUGCAAGUCGAGCGAACAGAUAAGGAGCUUGCUCCUUUGACGUUAGCGGCGGACGGGUGAGUAACACGUGGGUAACCUACCUAUAAGACUGGAAUAACUCCGGGAAACCGGGGCUAAUGCCGGAUAAUAUUUAGAACCGCAUGGUUCUAAAGUGAAAGAUGGUUUUGCUAUCACUUAUAGAUGGACCCGCGCCGUAUUAGCUAGUUGGUGGGGUAAUGGCUUACCAAGGCAACGAUACGUAGCCGACCUGAGAGGGUGAUCGGCCACACUGGAACUGAGACACGGUCCAGACUCCUACGGGAGGCAGCAGUAGGGAAUCUUCCGCAAUGGGCGAAAGCCUGACGGAGCAACGCCGCGUGAGUGAUGAAGGUCUUCGGAUCGUAAAACUCUGUUAUUAGGGAAGAACAAAUGUGUAAGUAACUGUGCACGUCUUGACGGUACCUAAUCAGAAAGCCACGGCUAACUACGUGCCAGC
rnacentral:rRNA from 1 species